AAGAAAAUGAAAAUCACUCAUUAUUCCAUUACAUACAGAAAGCCAUUGUUAACAUUAAGUAUGAAUAAUUUUUUCAAGCUUUUUCUAUGAUCAUAAUCUGUAGAUCUGAACUGUAUUUUUCUUUUGGUUUUGAAGCAAUCAGUGCUUCUGUAUCAAUGUCUGUGAUGGACAGCAGGGAUCAAUCACCCCCCUGCUCAUAUAGUUGGGAAAGAGAGAUGAGCUUAAACGGCCCUCAUGAAAAUUGUAGAUACUGAAGGUCACUCAUGUGGUCAGCUGAUUAUUGCAGAGCUUACCAAGCCGUUCUAUAACCAAACUGUGUAAAAGUAUGAAGGAGCAAUUUUAGAAUCCUUUCUGAACCAAAGGCCAGAGCAAUAAUAACGUCGUUCUAGCUAAAGACUCUGGGAUCAAAUCUGAAAUUGGAAUUUGUGUAGUAUGGCCUAAAAUUAAGAGUAGGACUUUUGGACUCAGAAAGAUUCAAUUCGUUACCCCUCAGUUUCCUUAUCUGAAAAAUAGAAUCAAUGAUAUUCACCGCCAAGGCUUAUUAGUAUAGGGAUGAAAUUAAACCAGGAAAUGUUUUACAAAUUGAGAAAUAUUUAUAAGAGCAAUUUCUCAUGAUAUUCAAUAAUAUUGUAAUAACCUAAUAAUGGCAUUCUAACAAUAGCAUUAUUGUCACUAACCUCUGCUUAUCACCUAUCUUGACUUCUGAGUUGGGUUGUAAACUGUGCUGAUAUGGCUGGCAAGCCCAGAUCACACAGCUAGUGCUCAAAGCUCAAGGUCAGUAGGUGUAACAGCUCUCAUUAUUCCACACUGUACAUUUGAUCUUGAUACUACAUUUCAUCAUACCAUUUAUUUACUGGUUCAGAUAAAUAUAUUAUAUUAGAUUGUACCUUUAUCCAAUGUACAUUGACAUACUGAUUGCAUGCCGUCCGUAUGUCUCUAUGGGGGUGUGUGUGUGUGUUUUCUUUAAACAAUUUGCUUGGAUGAUAGCGACUUGAGCACUUUUAUCAUUAGAACUUAGUUUAAAUUCGAAGUGAGUCUACCUGCCUGUGCUUUACGUCUUGGAAGAUGAGAAUUUUAGAUAAACUUUGCUACUCCUCUAGUUUUGUUAGCAAAGAAAAUAUAAGCAACUUGAGUGGGAGUUUGUACUCUUAACUUGAUGAUACAAAGUCACCAUUGAUUGACCAGUCAAGUCAGACAGUAGGUGGACUUCACUGGUUGGGAGGUUUUUGCCACUGAAGAGCUAAUAGAUUUAGUUUAAAUCUGGAUAAAUCGUGACGGGAAGCCAAUCUGCCUGCAACUGUGUAUCUUUCUGUGGUGCUGGGCUGAAGAUUCCUUAUCAUUAUAUUUCCAGAAGGACCUUGUUAGGAUGGUGAUGCUAAGGAAUCAUGUGACCUCUAGUUCUUCUCAGACUAAAAUGCUUUGUAGAACGUAAGCAAUCUCAACUGGUUCACAGCGCAAGGCCGCCCAACUUACCACUACAUAGGCUUCCAGCAUCGAUAAGAAUCAAACUUAUUUGUCUUGUGCAUUUAUUAACCUUUUUCUCUUUCCCAUUCCAUUUAAGUUAUAUUAAUUUAAAUAUAACUUAGAACUCACUAUCUCAGAUUUUCUGCCUGUCCCUUCCUUCUCUCAGCCUCUGAAUUGUAGCAAAAAAAAAAAAAAAAAAAA
ensembl:lncRNA